UUUGAAACCAACACGCAAGUGACUAAAAAUGCAGUUCAUCAAUUGGGCACUAGAGACUGGCUCCUUUGCCCUUCAUAAAAACUCCCUAGACGGAGACGUCCCGCAGAGAAAGAGGCUCCUGGGAGAACCCAAUAAACCAACCCUUCAGCCUCAGAUCAACAGACAUUAGACACCACUAACACCAACCCUCAGAGGAUGGCAAGCCCUGCACCACUUGUGCUUCAUCAUAAAUGAAGGUGGGACCGGAUCCAUAUUUACAAGAACAGAAAAUCACUCGAGGGUGGACUCACCCCAGUAAGUACCCACCUAGCAACCAUCGAAAACACCCUAGUAACAACACAUCAACAUGCAACUCAAAAACCACUCUGAACAUCAAUGAAAAAUAAUGCACGUGUGAAAACGAGAUUCAAAGGGAAAAUAAAGAUGAUGUCACAGUUCCAGACCUCUGUGGGGUCGCGACCUCCUGCAGGGGUGCAGCUCCACGUCUCAGCAUCAGGCAGCGUGCUCAGAGCCAGUGGUUUGACAUCCACCCAGCUGGCCUGAAUAACAACACCUCAUCUCUCUGUGAAGAAACACAGCGGUAAUGCUCUGUGUGUUUCUGGAGCAGUGCGCGGCGAUCCAGCAUGAAUGUGUGUGUUUCUCUAGCUGUGGGCUUUUCUGGAUUCUUGUGGUGCCCUCAGAUAUUGCAGGUUUUUUUUGUUUAUACUGCUGCGGUUGUUUUUAUAUGAAUAAUUAUAUCAUGUGUGUGAGGAGUGAAGCGGGGCACAUGGACACAGGCUGUGAUUAUUUGACGGUUGGCACGCCCUGACCUCACAGGACCCAUAAUGACAGCAGCAGACGCUCCGAGCCGGCUCAGAGCCGCAGGUGCACAUGUGUGUGUGUGUGUGUGUGUGUGUGUGUGUGUGAUAGACUCUCCAGACUUUGCCCUGUCCCUCUGUAAAACGAGCCGCUCCACCCGGACUCUCAUCUUGGUCUCUGGCCCUGUAACCCCAAACGCAUCCAUCUAGUGCAUUAUCACCCCAGCAUGUGUCUGUGAGGGCCCUGAUGCUGCAUUUGUGUUUUGAAUGCUCUUAAGCCACAUUACAAUUCACAACCCAAUUUACCUCAGUAAUGAACUGGAAUUGUUUAUAUUUUAGGUCAUUAUAUUUUAUUAUUCAUUUAAUUUUUAAUUUAAAUUUUUUUGCAAUGGUCUGCUCAGAUGAAUCGUGAAAAAUAAGACUAAGAUAAGAAUAUUCUACCCAUUUAUGUGUUUAUUUGUUUGUUUGAUGGUGAUUUAUUUAUUAAUUCUUCCAUGCAUGACGUGCAGUGAUGAAUCAAAAUAAGUUUAAAGGUAUUAUAGGCUAUUUUUAGGCUAGUGUUGUAUGUGAUGCAGCAUUUAUUUAUUUAUUUUUUAAUAGUUAAAUAAUUUUCCAUUGGUUAGAUUUGAAAAAGCAGCAUUA